rnacentral:sRNA from 1 species
ACCCGUCACGCGUGCUCUCGAACGGUACGCGUGGCAGUAGACAGAACACCGUGCCAUGGGAAGAAAAGGGCACUUCGGGGCGUU